GGUUGUACCGCUUUCAGCAGGACGAAAUUGACGGUACCUGCAAAACCCCGGCACUACGUGCCAGCAGCCGCGGUGAUACGUAGGGGGCGAGCGUUGUCCGGAUUUAUUGGGCGUAAAGAGCUCGUAGGCGGUUCGGUAAGUCGGAUGUGAAAUCUCCGUGCUCAACGCGGAGAGGCCAUUCGAUACUGCCGUGACUAGAGUUUGGUAGAGGAGUGUGGAACUCCCGGUGUAGCGGUGAAAUGCGCAGAUAUCGGGAAGAACACCAGUAGC
rnacentral:rRNA from 1 species